rnacentral:rRNA from 1 species
AUUGAACGCUGGCGGCAGGCCUAACACAUGCAAGUCGAACGGUAACAGGAAGAAGCUUGCUUCUUUGCUGACGAGUGGCGGACGGGUGAGUAAUGUCUGGGAAACUGCCUGAUGGAGGGGGAUAACUACUGGAAACGGUAGCUAAUACCGCAUAACGUCGCAAGACCAAAGAGGGGGACCUUCGGGCCUCUUGCCAUCUGAUGUGCCCAGAUGGGAUUAGCUAGUAGGUGGGGUAACGGCUCACCUAGGCGACGAUCCCUAGCUGGUCUGAGAGGAUGACCAGCCACACUGGAACUGAGACACGGUCCAGACUCCUACGGGAGGCAGCAGUGGGGAAUAUUGCACAAUGGGCGCAAGCCUGAUGCAGCCAUGCCGCGUGUAUGAAGAAGGCCUUCGGGUUGUAAAGUACUUUCAGCGGGGAGGAAGGGAGUAAAGUUAAUACCUUUGCUCAUUGACGUUACCCGCAGAAGAAGCACCGGCUAACUCCGUG